rnacentral:rRNA from 1 species
GAUGAACGCUGGCGGCGUGCCUAAUACAUGCAAGUCGAGCGAACGGACGAGAAGCUUGCUUCUCUGAUGUUAGCGGCGGACGGGUGAGUAACACGUGGAUAACCUACCUAUAAGACUGGGAUAACUUCGGGAAACCGGAGCUAAUACCGGAUGAUAUUUUGAACCGCAUGGUUCAAAAGUGAAAGACGGUCUUGCUGUCACUUAUAGAUGGAUCCGCGCUGCAUUAGUUAGUUGGUAAGGUAACGGCUUACCAAGGCAACGAUGCAUAGCCGACCUGAGAGGGUGAUCGGCCACACUGGAACUGAGACACGGUCCAGACUCCUACGGGAGGCAGCAGUAGGGAAUCUUCCGCAAUGGGCGAAAGCCUGAUGGAGCAACGCCGCGUGAGUGAUGAAGGUCUUCGGAUCGUAAAACUCUGUUAUUAGGGAAGAACAUAUGUGUAAGUAACUGUGCACAUCUUGACGGUACCUAAUCAGAAAGCCACGGCUAACUACGUG